ACGCGUGAGGAACCUGGCUCAAAGAGGGGGACAACAGUUGGAAACGACUGCUAAUACCGCAUAAGCCCACGGGUCGGCAUCGACCUGAGGGAAAAGGAGCAAUCCGCUUUGAGAUGGCCUCGCGUCCGAUUAGCUAGUUGGUGAGGUAACGGCCCACCAAGGCGACGAUCGGUAGCCGGACUGAGAGGUUGAACGGCCACAUUGGGACUGAGACACGGCCCAGACUCCUACGGGAGGCAGCAGUGGGGAAUAUUGCACAAUGGGGGAAACCCUGAUGCAGCGACGCCGCGUGGAGGAAGAAGGUCUUCGGAUUGUAAACUCCUGUUGUUGAGGAAGAUAAUGACGGUACUCAACAAGGAAGUGACGGCUAACUACGUGCCAGCAGCCGCGG
rnacentral:rRNA from 1 species